rnacentral:SRP_RNA from 1 species
UCGCUGUCAUGGCUUUUGGUGGAAAGGGUAUCUUUUCGUGCAUGGUUGCCUUCUACUUCGGUAGGAUAAGUGGCUGUCCGUUUCGAAUCCUGGGGUUAGCGGUUUGAGUUAUAUGAGGAAUCUAUAUGCUUGAUCGCUUUAAGCGUGGUACCAUUCUUGAGUGGAGCAAUCCAGCAGAGAAGUAUCUGCCCUGGGCAUGGCGACCGGAUCGCAGUAGCUUGUUGGGCUGCCGAGUUCGAAGCAUUGCUUCUGACUACUUUU